CGAAGUCCGGAACUGACUGGGACCUUGUCCCCUGCAUCGGACCAGAGUCCGGAACUAACUGCAUCGGACCGAAGUCCGGAACUGACUGCAUCGGACCGAAGUCCGGAACUAACUGCAUCGGACCGAAGUCCGGAACUGACUGCAACCGACCGAAGUCCGGAACUGACUGGGACCUUGUCCCCUGCAUCGGACCAGAGUCCGGAACUAACUGCAUCGGACCGAAGUCCGGAACUGACUGCAUCGGACCGAAGUCCGGAACUGACUGCAUCGGACCGAAGUCCGGAACUGGCUGAUCAUGGCAUAGCAUAAAACAUAACAACUAUUAUAAUCACAUAUACUGCAUACUGCAUCGGAACAGAGUCCGGAACACAUAACACAAACAUGCUUGAAUCACAAAGAC
rnacentral:lncRNA from 1 species